rnacentral:lncRNA from 1 species
GUUUACUGGAGAGCUGCUUGGUUAGUUAAGUCCUGAAGGUGGGGGAUCUUGAAAUGGCUCCUUAGAAGCUGGGCCAGUUUUACUCCUCCUAAAUGGGUGGUAGAAUGUAGAUGAUUGAUAAAAGUUUCCCCAAGGGCUUGGGGCAUGAAGAUUCUGGAAUCAGGAAGAAUUCACCAACCUUCCUGAUUUUUACUGGCUUGAAGAUCCGAAGCUUGUUUUUCUUCCUCUGGGGAGUAUUCUGGGUAGUCUGCCCAGUCAGUUGUGGAAAGGACACAGAGGGCAGCAGGGUUAAAGGCACGACCAGGAGCUGAGCUGCCUCUCAAGCUGCAGAGUCUGCUCUUUGGUUACCACGAGCAAUGGCCAUGUCUUCUCUUUGAUGUCCUUUGCAGUGAAUUGCAGCCACCUGUUGAGGGAGCCAAACAGCUUCAAGCAGGGCUAAAAUUUCUUCUUUGUUGUUGACACUCUUUCCUGCUGAGGUAGGAAAUGCUGGGAAGAAAAAGCUGGGCCUUCUUGGCUGGGACCUGAUACCCGAAUUCCUGAAGGAGGUAAAGUAGGUCCGUAGUAUGUUGCAGGCAGCUGUCAGUAGUUUCAGUAGCCAAUAACAGGUCGUCUACAUACUGGAGAAGAGUGCAGUUAGGGUGACUGGCUCAGAAUGGUAAAAGAUCCUGUUGGAGGGCUUCCCUAAAAAGGGUGGGGGAAUUUUUAAAACUUCGGGGUAACCAAGUCCAGGUUAAUUGGGUGGUGUCUACCGAGCCAGGAUAUGUCUGUUCAAAAGCAAAGAUAGGUUGACUUUUGGGGCCAGAGGAAUAGCAAAAAAAAGCAUCCUUGAAGUCAAGGACAGUGUACACCAUAUGUUCUGGUGGGAGCAGGCUGAGUAAAGUAUAAGGGUUAGAGACAGUUGGAUGGACAGUGACUGUCUGCUUGUUACCUUCCUGCAAGUCCUGUACAGGCUGGUAAUCAUUUGUUCCGGGUUUCUGGACCGGCAAAAAUGGAAUAUUCCAGGCGAUCUCACAUGGUGUGAGUAUACCAGCUUGUAAUAGUUGCUGAAUAUGAGGAUUAAUUCCCUCUAUAGCCCACAGAAUCAUAGGAUAUUGUUUGACCUGGACCGGCAGGGUGGUGGCCAGGAGUUCUACAACAGCUGGCAGAUGGUGGUUUGCCAGUCCUGGGAGGUAUGAGGAAACAGAGUCUGUAAAGCCAGUAGGAGAGGAUUACUUUUAUUCUCCGGCAGUUGUGAGGGUGAAACUAAGAGAUAUUCCUCUGACCGAAGGGUGGUUAGCAGGAGCUGAGCAGUAGGGGGCAUUGUGUCCCCUAACAUGAGAUAUGGUCCCUCUCUUCAGAGGUGAAAAGGGAUGAAAGGAGUUGCUGACACUCAUCCCAGGAAAGGCAGGACUGGGAUGGCCAGCCCAACCGACUAAUGAGGAAUUUGACCUCCUGGGAUAGAAAAUCUGUACUAAGGACCUUGAAGAAGUCCUUGCCCAGUCAUUUUGGGCAGUAUCGACGAUCCGACAUAUGAAAUUUAGACAGACACUAAACAGGACAAUAGGCACUGGGGUAUAUAAACAAGCAUGGCAAUUUUUAUAGACAGACAAGGGGAGGGGGUCCCGUGAUGGGAUCAGUCAGAUGCCCUCCUGGCUGCUCCCCUUUCGGGGACUUAGGCUCCUCUUGGCAUUGGCAGGCUGGUAUAAACCCCUGGCUUGGAUCGAGCUAUGCCUGAUGCCGCCCUAAGCCUUAUGAGGUCACCACGGAACCACAGGUGAGGGCCUUCUCGAAUUCCCUAGCUUUCACCCUGGAGCUACAAACUGGAAAUUCAAGCGCAAGCCCUUGAACUCCACAUUCACUCACUCACUCACUCACUCAGAGUUUAUUACAAUUUUUAUACCCAUUCUAAAACAGAGAUCUCCCGGAGACCUGAAUGAGAGAGGGAGAAGAGAUAGAGAGAGAGAGAGACUAGACUUAACAGAGAAUCCUGACAGAAACCAGGACUCUGUCCUCCAGUGUCCUGGAGCAUGGACAGAGUCUGAGGGAGGACCUUCGUCAGGGCCGUUUCCCUCCCAGAGAGACAGAGUCAGAUCUGACUUACCUUCCCGGGACUAGAGACUGAGGACUCAGGAGUUGAAUUUGGCUGGGCGCACCGGCAGUCGAUCCGUUCCCCUCCAGAAGACAGUGGCCUGUGGAGCCCUGGAACGUCUUCAGGUGGCCCUGUAAGCCAGCUGUCUGUCUGGGGAAGCCCGGAAUGAGUCAGGUCUUCACCCGGUGGCGAAUCUCUCUGGGGCUUCCAAAUGUCGUAACCGAGCAAGUCAUAGAGAGAAUGCCACACUCUGAGACUAAUUCAGGAGUCCUUUAUUGCUGGCGACUGAGAAAGAGCUAGAGCUUGAAAUUCUCUCGGUCCGGAAGAAGAGGCUAGAGUUCUUUUUAUACCUUGGCCUAAAGAGGGGAGGGGGAGUCUAGCUGAAGCAAUUUUUUACAGAAGCAGAACAGGAAAAAAUUAAAAGAUAAAUGGUUACAGAAACAGUUACAGGAAAAUAAACAGUUCCAGGUGCAGGGGCUUAAAGUAUCCCAAAGUGAUAAAAGCAGGGGCUUUGGAUACCACCAACCAAGUGUGCUCCCAGGAGCUGCUGGUACAGCUUGCCUCAGUAUCUUAUCAAUAAGCGCAUUCUUGGAUGUGCUUGGAGUCAGCUUGCACCAGUUAUGUCCUUAAGGAGGGGGACAAGGGGCUGCAAGCGAAGAAACCAAGCUAAGACUCUCUCAGCUAUUGACUCUCUCGAUAUUGACUCUCAAUUGAGUCUCCCAAGCUAUUGACUCUCUCAGCUAAGAAAGAGUCAAUCAGGAUAAAACAAGAUAGGGUAUCACAAUUUGAUCUGCAAGAUUAUUUCCUGGACUUGUGAAAGGCGAGUCGUUUUGGUGCCCUGGGACAUGUACAAUAGCUAUCUCUUCUGGCAAUUGGAGAUUGUUGAGGACACGAGCAUCAGUUCUCUAUGAACUAAAUCUUGGCCUCUACUAUUGAUAAGAGCCCUCUCCAUCCAAAUUUUCCCAAAUGUGUGUGCCUCCCCAGAGGGAUACUUAGAGUCAGUAUAGAUAGAUUUUCUUGGUUUUGUAAAUGUCCUAAAGCUUGGCUGAGUGCAAACAGUUCACACCCUUGGACAGACCAAUUAUUAGACCCCCUUCCUGAUUUUACUUUUUUAACAGUCUUUCCAUUAAUCACUGAAUACCUAUUAUGUCUCUUUCUUUUAAUCACCUGGGAGGUUCCAUCUAUGAAUAAGUGCCACCCUGUCUUGAAGGGAGUUUUUCCUAAGUCUGGUUGAACUUUCGUAUGGUAAUUAAUUCGAUUUAAACACGCGUGCUCUCUCGUUUUACGUUUGGAUCCCCCGUUAAAGAGCCUGCUGAAUAAAGUGAAUUAUUAGUACUUAAUAUUAAAUCACCUUUUUCCCAGAAAGAUAGCCUCAUAUUUUAAAAUUUUUGAGUUGGUAAUCUCCCUCCUUGCGUUUUGAUUUAAUAUAGUUUUAACUUGGUGGGUUGUGGCCUGAAGCGGCUGGGGAGUAACUUGAAACCUCAGCUGAAGGGACAGCACAGGCUGGGGCGUGGCCUGAAACAGCUGGGGAGUAACCUGAAACCACAGCCGGAGGGACCUGAGAGGGGAACCAAAGGGGCAGGAUUGGGGGCGCUGAAGGAAGGAAGGUGAUUUAGAGGAUCCCAUGUCUUGGUAGGUAUGGGUUGUCUAGGCAUGGGAACUCUUUCCUUUUUAGAAAGGUUGGUUUCUGAUUUUCUCCCUCCAGAGUCUAAAGGGUAAAGGAGAACUGGUCCCUGCCGCCAGCAGAGGGCGUAAUCGAUUUUUCCUGGGACACAGGGCUCUUACUGUUAACAUAUUUGAUUAACAGCUGACAAAUUCGCUCUUCAUUAGACUUAAAUUUUGGCCAGAAAAGUGAGGGCUUAAGGAUGGGUUCUCGAACUUAAAUAAAACAACAAUAUUCUAUCAUCUGCUGUUUUUGUUUAUACUUGGUUCUCUUAUUAUUUUUUCAAUACUUUAGCAUAAGCCCCAAGGGGCUAUCAGAAGGAAAUUCAUCACUCUCUAGACUCUUUAGUUUUCCUGUCUUACUUGAAACGUUCCCCAUCUUAGGGAUUAUGGGGAGGAGGCCCAACCCCUCCUGUGAGAUUUCUACCCUCCCCCUUCCUGGAGGCUUACUGAGGCUUUGGGGAAAGGCUCCAACCCAACCUGUUUGGAUUUCUACCCUCCCCCUUCCUCUUUGUCUACUCUGUCUGUUCCUGACUCUAGUUGACAGAUGGCAGCAUGAGGCCAUAGAGAAGACUCACUCACUCCACAUAACCACCAUACUAAGUCCCAUUCAUACACUGUCAGCCUCCAGCUUAUCCCAACCACCUGGGAAAUACUUUGUCACCUUCGCCAAGUCUCCUACCUUAUUCCAUGCACAAGAAUUUCCUGGUCCUCUUAUUGUUGCGGUCUUGCAAGCUUCUCCUCCCCGCUUUGCUGAGAUCCAGACUUAUUUGUCACAAAGCGGGGGGGGGGCCCUGAUCUCCCUCAACCUAGGGGCACGGUAACUAGACAGUAGGAUGCGUCCCCUCCGGGUGGGGUGACCGAAGGCCCCCUUCCCAAAGGAGAAGAUUCGAGCCCCAAAGUUGGGCUCCAGAACUGUUAGGAAUAACGCUCAAAAUCUUAAGGAAAUUGAACACUUGAACAAAGGAUUCUUAGCAAAGCAAUUUUACUUCUGCGCAGAGAGGUGCCUCCUUGUCCAGUCGCCAUGAGAGCACACCUGAAAAAGGGGCACGAGAGCCUUUACUCCUGACACAAGUACUGCCCCUGUACCCUUUCUCCAUUGGCCAGGGUCAGGUCGUACAAUCUAAACUAAUCCUGGUUGGCUAAACAUUGGAUUUUUUUUAGAUAAGGUGGGCACGUAAAAAAGGCAGAGAAUAAAGGGGAAGGGGUGUCUGUAAUGAGCUAAAAAGUUAGUCCUCUUUCCAAAUAAGGAAAGGAAUGUGAGCAGGUACAGAUACCACCUGGUACUGUGGCAUGCCUGGGCAUGUAACAAAGGAAAAAAGAGAAAAAAGGAGAAAAAGGAAAAAAGGUGGAGGGAUUACUAUGAAUUAAAGAAUAAAAGAUUGAUCAGGUUAUCUGAAGAGAAACCUCAUCAUAUCCCACACAUCCAUCCAUCCAUCCAUCCAUCCAUCAUUCAUCCAUCCAUCCAUCCAUCCAUCCAUCCAUCAUUCAUCCAUCCCCAAUCCAUGUAUCCUUCCACCCAUCCCUCCUUCCAUUUGUCUUUCUAUCCAUCCUUCCUUCUUUCCAUGUUUCCAACCAUCCAUCCAUGCCUCCGUCCCUCCACCCAUCCAUUCGUCCAUCCAUUGUUCCAUCCAUUCCAUCUAUCUAUUUAUUCACCAGAUAUUAUUGAGGCGGGGAAUACAAUAAUUAACAGAACUCAAAAAUCCCUUCUCUCAUAGAGCUUACAUGCUAGUGGGUAGAAACAGGGUAAGCAAGCAAACAGCAAAUAUAUAAAAUACAUGACAUAUUGAUAAACAAAUGCUAUGGAGAAGAAGAAAACACUUAGAAGGGCAAGAAGAAAUAUCAGAGGAGGUAGGUUAAUUUUAAAUAGGGUGAUGAAGAAAGUCCUCUCUGAAAAGACGAUAAAUCGGCAAGGAAAUUAAAAAUACAAGUCAGAGAAUUAUUCUAAUAUCUGAGGGCAGAGCAUCCCAGGCAGUGAGAAUACCAAGGGCAAGAGCCCUGAGGCACAAGUACCUCUCUUGCGUAAUUUUUUAGUAACGGUCAAGGUCCUCUUGGUCCUCACCAACUCUCCCUAACUUAUCUGGGGGCUGAUAUUUUUGAACCAACAAAAGUGCUGGAAGGCAACACUGUAAGAUUUUAAGGGUGCAAAACUUUCAUGAAAUGUCUGGGAAAAUGCUGACAACAAAUGAGGAAAAACAAAUGAAUUAGGUAGAAUUUAAAAUUAAAUGUAAUCAAAUUCCACUGCAUUGUACAUUCAGAAUACGUAUUUUCUAAAAUCGAAAGGCUUGUUAAAUGAGAAUAAUUUCAAGUAAAAGUGUCUCUUUCAUUUGGUUUUCCCAGUGGAUGUAUAAAAUAACUAAUUGAGCUAAAUCUGUUAUUUUUUAAAUCCUUAAUGCCUCUCUAGAAUGUAAAAGUUCAUUUCCUAUUGUGGAAAUUUUGAAAAUUAUGUAAAAGAAUAACAAAAAUAAACUUGUUGCCAAACAACAUAGAAAAAAACCCUCUUAAUAUUCAAAUCUUUCUAGAUAGAUUUUCUUUUAUUUCUAAGUUUUGCUGGUUUGAUAGUGUAUAAAGCUUAUUUUAAUUUGCAUUUUUAUUACUAGUCUGUACAAUUUUUCAUGUCAUUUAAUGGUCAAUUUUAUGUAAAAACUUUCUUUGUGGCAUCUGAGAUUUUUCUUAUUUAUAUGAAUAAACUCUUUUGAUUAUAAGAAAAUUGCCAAA